rnacentral:rRNA from 1 species
UACGAAGGGGGCUAGCGUUGCUCGGAAUUACUGGGCGUAAAGGGCGCGUAGGCGGCACUGUUAGUCAGGCGUGAAAGUCCUGGGCUCAACCUGGGAACUGCGCUUGAUACGGCAGAGCUAGAGGAUGGAAGAGGGUCGCGGAAUUCCCAGUGUAGAGGUGAAAUUCGUAGAUAUUGGGAAGAACACCGGUGGCGAAGGCGGCGCUCUGGACCGAGACUGACGCUGAGGCGCGAAAGCGUGGGGAGCAAACAGG